rnacentral:rRNA from 1 species
GACAGAGGUCCCAAGCGUUAGGCGGAAUCACUGGGCUUAAAGCGUGUGUAGGCGGAUGCCUAAGUACCUUGUGAAAUCCCACGGCUCACCCGUGGAACUGCUUGGUAUACUGGGUGUCUUGAGCCACUUAGGGGCUACCGGAACAAAUGGUGGAGCGGUGAAAUGCGUAGAUAUCAUUUGGAACGCCAACGGUGAAAACAGGUAGCUGGGAGUGUGCUGACGCUGAGACACGAAAGCCAGGGGAGCAAACGGG